GGUGGCAGAGGAAAUCUCCCUGGGUCACGUCCCUAUUAUAUUAGCAUCUCAGCCACCGCUCCAGAGGUGCGCGCGAACCACGAAGGGUUGUUUGCAGAGUCCCGCAGCAGGUGUCACGGGCAGGGAAGGGACAGCAAGGACUCCGAAGCACCAGGGUGGGGAAUGACAGAUGGACCCGCGGCGCGAAGUGAGACGCCCUGAACCUGUCAGCUCCCGCUGUCACCUGCUGGGAAGGACCGGGCAGGCUGAGGGUAGCGGCGGUCCGGGACAAGCGCUUCCCGAGGUGAAGCGCCCCCUGAGGACACCGUCCGCCGCACCAGCCGGCCGGUAAGUAAAGUUACUAUGGGGUCCGCGCCGCCGCCACAGCCCUCGGGGCCCGGGUCCGCCUCAAUCAGCAACUGUGCAGAGCUCAGAAGGCAAGCGAACCCCGGCCGGGCCGAGCUCCGGGCACCACCCCGUUCCCUUAGCGCGGCACGACCCCGCCCGGGCGGCCCGCCACCUUCCCGCCAUGCCCCGCUGAGGUCGAGACCCUGACCCUCUAAAGGAGCCCGCUGCGGUCUUUACCUCCGCUCUGUGGUCCGCCGCGCGCUCUCGCCCGCCGGUGCAGGAGAAUCCCGACUCACCAAGGCUGCCAGGCCAGCGUGAGCUCUCACCCCCGCCCCCUCAGGUAACCCGGGAAACCGGGAACACCACCCCCUUCCUCCCCCGCCCAGACCCAGACCCGCUCCUCUGCGCGUGCGCACCGUCCCCGCCUCGAGCGCCUAAAGUCCCGCCCCACCGGGAGGGCACGCUGGGGUCGCCGACGUGAUGCGUGGAGAAUCUCAGCCAAUGAGAGGAAGAAGGCGGGACAAAUGCAGCGAGGAGGGCCCUGUGCAGCUUCUCUGAACUCCACCCCUCCCGGCCGCAUAAAGCUUCGUCCAUCCCAGGCGAUUCAGCCCCUAAAAGCGCAAGCCUAGUGUCUUCUUUCUACUGUAAACUCACGUUUACUGGGAAAAUUACAUCUUUGUUGAAGACUGUACAAAGUGACUGACUGUCUAGAACUUUACCAUUACGGAGAGAUGAUGAUCAGUAACCAAGAUUAUCUUGGACUAUCUUUAGGUUCUUUAAAAAAACUGCUUAUUACCAACCUUUGUAGCUGACCUAAGAUCUUUGUGCCUGUUAUGUAAAAAGUUUGGAAUGUAUUGUUAAACUUAGCCAACGACUGGCUUUUCAGCAGUGCUCAAAAGAAGAGUAUCAUCAGCUGGAGAUUUUCCUGCUAUGCUGUAGCCUACCUCCCCGAUGUCCUUUCCGCUAUAUUUGGCAAAUGUAUUGAUUUAUGGUCUUUUGUUCUAUGGCUAUAAGACUGCGUGUAAACCUCUUUCACAGUAGAACAUGUAAUUCUGGGAAACCCGAAUCUCUGUUACUAAGCACUAUUCACUCAAAGUUGCCUCAGAAUAAACUUUCUUUUGGUUUU
rnacentral:lncRNA from 1 species